UACGUAGGGUGCAAGCGUUGUCCGGAAUUAUUGGGCGUAAAGAGCUCGUAGGCGGCUUGUCGCGUCGACUGUGAAAACCCGCGGCUCAACUGCGGGCCUGCAGUCGAUACGGGCAGGCUAGAGUUCGGUAGGGGAGACUGGAAUUCCUGGUGUAGCGGUGAAAUGCGCAGAUAUCAGGAGGAACACCGGUGGCGAAGGCGGGUCUCUGGGCCGAUACUGACGCUGAGGAGCGAAAGCGUGGGGAGCGAACAGG
rnacentral:rRNA from 1 species